rnacentral:rRNA from 1 species
AAUGCAUUAAGUGAUCCGCCUGGGGAGUACGUCCGCAAGGAUGAAACUCGAGGAAUUGACGGGGACCCGCACAAGCGGUGGAGUAUGUUCUUUAAUUCGAUGCAACACGAAGAACCUUACCUGGGCUUGACAUCACCGAAAUCACCUUUAUACGGUGAGUGCCUCGAUUUAUCGAGGAAUCGUGUGACAGGUGCUGCAUGGCUGUCGUCAGUUCGUGUCGUGAGAUGUUGGGUUAAGUCCCGCAACGAACGCAACCCCUGUCUUUAGUUACCAGCAUUAAGUUGGGGACUCUAGAGAGACUGCCAAGGUGACAACUUGGAGGAAGGUGGGGACGACGUCAAGUCAUCAUGGUCCUUACGUCCAGGGCUAGAAACGUACUACAAUGGUUGGCACAGAGGGCAGCAACACAGCGAUGUGAAGCAAAUCCUUAAAACCAACCUCAGUUCGGAUUGGAGUCUGCAACUCGACUCCANGAAGUUGGAAUCGCUAGUAAUCGCGGAUCAGCAAUGCCACGGAGAAUACGUUCCCGGGUCUUGUACACACCGCCCGUCAAG